UUGAGCCGUAUGAUGGGAAACUAUCACGUACGGCUCUUAGAGGAGGAAACUGGGGCACCUAGUUUCCUUACUCAAC
rnacentral:ncRNA from 1 species